UUCCACACGUACCCAUCCCGAACACGACCGUUAAGCCCUCCAGCGCCGAUGGUACUUGGACCGCAGGGUCCUGGGAGAGUAGGACGUUGCCAAGC
rnacentral:rRNA from 1 species